AACGAACGCUGGCGGCGUGGAUAAGACAUGCAAGUCGAACGGGACUAAAUCUGUAGCAAUACAGGUUUAGUUUAGUGGCGAACGGGUGCGUAACACGUGGGCAAUCUGCCGAGAAGUGGGGGAUAGCUCGCCGAAAGGCGAAUUAAUACCGCAUAUGAUCAGUGAAGACAUCUUCACGACAUCAAAGCCGGGGCAACCUGGCGCUUCUUGAUGAGCCCGCGGCCUAUCAGCUAGUUGGUGAGGUAACGGCUCACCAAGGCUAUGACGGGUAGCUGGUCUGAGAGGACGACCAGUCACACUGGAACUGAGACACGGUCCAGACACCUACGGGUGGCAGCAGUCGAGAAUUUUUCUCAAUGGGGCAACCCUGAAGAGCGACGCCGCGUGGAGGAUGAAGGCUUUCGGUUGUAAACUCCUGUCAUUUGGGAACAAGUUACACACGUUAACUGCGUGGGUA
rnacentral:rRNA from 1 species